rnacentral:lncRNA from 1 species
AUUCGGUCAUUAUAAAUUUCUACUGACAUACUUUAUUUUUAUUACUUGAGGGUACCAAAAAGAGCGAGGGGAGGAAUCUGGGGGAUGGGGUCCUAGAUAUGGAUAGUAAACGGUGCAGUACGAUACGGUUGCGGGACAAACCCGCGCACACUCGCGAAGACUCCAACCCGUUCCGCCCCACCCCAUUUUCAAUCCCCAGUCCUAAAGAGAGGGUAGGACUGCCACUUAGCCCACCAACAGGUAUCAUGCAUUAGGACUAAGGCAUUUCCCAUCCAUCUUUCCUCUCACCAUCAGAGAUCAGAAGCAUCAAUCUAGUCUUAUCAAGUUAUACGAGGCGCGAAUGGGAAUUCACUUACGUGAUCUUAUUGUAUGUAUAUAUUUUAUUUUUCUCAAAAUAUUUAGGUUAAAUAAAUAAGUUGACACUUAACUAUCGAUCAAAUCCUUGUUACACAUUUUCUGUAGGGGAAAAUAAUAUUAUACAUUCAAUCUUUUAAAAGUAUGUCUAAUACACACCACUUUAGUAUUUGAUCACUUUUUCUCAACAAGUGUAUAUCACGCACCAAUAAAAUUCUGGCACAUGUCAUCAAUUUAAAAUAAAAGGAAAACAUUUAAAAACUAUACUCCAUCUUCUUCAGCUUAGUCUUCAGAAAAUCUUGUCAAAGCAAAGCCAGAAAUCUUGUAUUUUAAACCACCAAAGUGAUAGACAAAAACAACUUCCAUUUUAACCCAAAAACAAUGAAUUUUCAUUCCAUUUUUAAAAUUCAUAGCUGCCACAAAAAACAUAACAAUCACCCACCAUUUUCGAGCAAAAGAUCUCAGACUGCUUCUCACCCAAAUCCACCACCAUAGAUAGAAUAUUUUCAUAUUCAAACAAAAAAAGACGAAAAGAACGAGUAUAAGCCCCCUAUAAUUUGGAUUGCUAUACUCUAAGUUUGUAAAUUUUUGCUCAAUUUCAAGAACCCAUUUGAUUUCCAAAUCAACAACGUAAAUCUCAACUAAAUAAUUCUAAUAGUAAGACGAGAGUAUUUCAAAUCUAACAUAUCAGUUACACUUAAAUAAAUAAAAAAGUAAAAAAAGAUGCUUCAAUGGAGGAAAAUGGUGUGGGAUGGUGUUGAUGAGGAAAAUAAAGAAGGGACAGAGAGUUCUAAAUAAAUAAAGGUUUAAAAAAAAGGAUGAAAAGAAAAGAGAAGGGCUGGAGGUGGAGGUUGGGCGGCGAAAAAACAAAAAGAGAUAGAGAGAGAGUGGGGAAGAUGAGAGAUUCACAGAUACGUGAAAUUAAAUAAGUAUUUAAAUAGUAUUUUAGCUGGUAGACGCACUUGUAUUUUGGUGUGUUACACAUGCUAGGUCUUGGUCAAAGAAAGUGUGUCUUAGACAUACUUUACAAAGUUUGGGCUCGUAAAAAAUUACUCGUGAAGGAA